UACAGAGGUCUCAAGCGUUGUUCGGAUUCAUUGGGCGUAAAGGGUGCGUAGGCGGCGCGCUAAGUCAGGUGUGAAAUUUCGGAGCUUAACUCCGAAACUGCAUUUGAUACUGGCGUGCUUGAGGACUGGAGAGGAGACUGGAAUUCAUGGUGUAGCAGUGAAAUGCGUAGAGAUCAUGAGGAAGACCAGUGGCGAAGGCGGGUCUCUGGACAGUUCCUGACACUGAGGCACGAAGGCCAGGGGAGCAAACGGG
rnacentral:rRNA from 1 species